GACGAACGCUGGCGGCGUGCCUAAUACAUGCAAGUAGAACGCUGAAGAGAGGAGCUUGCUCUUCUUGGAUGAGUUGCGAACGGGUGAGUAACGCGUAGGUAACCUGCCUGGUAGCGGGGGAUAACUAUUGGAAACGAUAGCUAAUACCGCAUAAAAUGGAUUAUCGCAUGAUAAUCCAUUGAAAGGUGCAAAUGCAUCACUGCCAGAUGGACCUGCGUUGUAUUAGCUAGUUGGUGGGGUAACGGCUCACCAAGGCGACGAUACAUAGCCGACCUGAGAGGGUGAUCGGCCACACUGGGACUGAGACACGGCCCAGACUCCUACGGGAGGCAGCAGUAGGGAAUCUUCGGCAAUGGACGGAAGUCUGACCGAGCAACGCCGCGUGAGUGAAGAAGGUUUUCGGAUCGUAAAGCUCUGUUGUAAGAGAAGAACGAGUGUGAGAGUGGAAAGUUCACACUGUGACGGUAUCUUACCAGAAAGGGACGGCUAACUACGUG
rnacentral:rRNA from 1 species